AGAGUUUGAUCCUGGCUCAGGAUGAACGCUAGCGACAGGCUUAACACAUGCAAGUCGAGGGGCAGCAGGGGAGUAGCAAUACUCCCGCUGGCGACCGGCGCACGGGUGAGUAACACGUAUGCAACCUGCCCUUGUCAGGGGGAUAAGCGGAAGAAAUUCCGUCUAAUACCGCAUAACGCUGCGGGGAGACAUCUCCCUGCAGCCAAAGAUUUAUCGGACAAGGAUGGGCAUGCGGCGCAUUAGCUUGUUGGCGGGGUAACGGCCCACCAAGGCGACGAUGCGUAGGGGUUCUGAGAGGAAGGUCCCCCACACUGGUACUGAGACACGGACCAGACUCCUACGGGAGGCAGCAGUGAGGAAUAUUGGUCAAUGGCCGGGAGGCUGAACCAGCCAAGUCGCGUGAGGGAAGACGGUCCUAUGGAUUGUAAACCUCUUUUGUCAGGGAGCAAAAACUGCCACGCGUGGCAGGAUGAGAGUACCUGAAGAAAAAGCAUCGGCUAACUCCGUGCCAGCAGCCGCGGUAAUACGGAGGAUGCGAGCGUUAUCCGGGUUUAUUGGGUUUAAAGGGUGCGUAGGCGGACAGUUAAGUCAGCGGUAAAAUUGAGAGGCUCAACCUCUUCCCGCCGUUGAAACUGAUUGUCUUGAGUGGGCGAGAAGUAUGCGGAAUGCGUGGUGUAGCGGUGAAAUGCAUAGAUAUCACGCAGAACUCCGAUUGCGAAGGCAGCAUACCGGCGCCCAACUGACGCUGAAGCACGAAAGCGUGGGUAUCGAACAGGAUUAGAUACCCUGGUAGUCCACGCAGUAAACGAUGAAUACUAAUUGUUCGGGUCGAGUGAGAUCUGAGUGAUACAGCGAAAGCGUUAAGUAUUCCACCUGGGGAGUACGCCGGCAACGGUGAAACUCAAAGGAAUUGACGGGGGCCCGCACAAGCGGAGGAACAUGUGGUUUAAUUCGAUGAUACGCGAGGAACCUUACCCGGGCUCAAACGACACAGGAAUGAUCUGAGAAAUCAGGCAGUCCUUCGGGACCUGUGUCGAGGUGCUGCAUGGUUGUCGUCAGCUCGUGCCGUGAGGUGUCGGCUUAAGUGCCAUAACGAGCGCAACCCCCAUCGACAGUUGCCAGCAGGUCAAGCUGGGCACUCUGUCGAGACUGCCGGCGCAAGCUGUGAGGAAGGCGGGGAUGACGUCAAAUCAGCACGGCCCUUACGUCCGGGGCGACACACGUGUUACAAUGGCAGGUACAGCGGGAAGCCACCUGGCGACAGGGAGCGGAACCCGAAAGCCUGUCUCAGUUCGGAUUGGAGUCUGCAACUCGACUCCAUGAAGCUGGAUUCGCUAGUAAUCGCGCAUCAGCCACGGCGCGGUGAAUACGUUCCCGGGCCUUGCACACACCGCCCGUCA
rnacentral:rRNA from 1 species